ACUUCAUGAUUUGGGUAUUGGGUAAAUUUUCCAUUAAACUAUUCCCAAGCUUAAAAUAAAGGCUCUUCAUUCAUUUGCCAAAAAUUCAAAAUCUCAUCACGCUUUU